ACAACAUUCGGACCGUCGGUCUACUAAGCAACAUCAUCCGCUCGAUGGAAGAUCUUCUCUUUGUGCU
rnacentral:pre_miRNA from 1 species